CUGGGACACAGUCAUGCACCACCAUGCCUGGCUAAUUUUUAAAAUUUUUUGUAGAGAUGGGUUUCUCUUUAUGUUGCCAAGCCUGGCCUCAAAGUCUUGGGCUCAAGCAAUCCACCCUGUUCGGCUUCCCAAAGUGAUGAGAUUGCAGGCAUGAGUCACCACAUCCAGCCUCAAAUGCUUUUUUGUACUUUAAUGAGAUCAUAUAUUUUUAUUAAUAUGGUGAAUGAUACUGGUUAUUUUUUACAUUUUAAAUUCACUUUGCAUUCAUCAUAUAAACCCCACUUGGUCAUGGUGCAUUACCCUUCUUAUAAAUUGCUGGACUUAAUUUGCUUAUACCGUGUUAAGGAUUUUUGAAUGUAUGAUUAGGAGACAUAUUGAACUUAAGCUGCGUGGACUUAGAAUUUUCUUUGUGGAAUCGAUCAUCGUGGCAGACAGGAGGCAGGAUUAGAUUGCAGCUCUGACUCAGAGCAGCGUGCGGAGGCUCGCAUUGUGAAUUUUAGCUCCAGAUAAACUUCAAGAACAAACCAGCAAUCCUGAGAGGACCCACAGACCCUCUGAAAAAAGCGGACUGUUCCUGCAACACCCAGGAGACACCCCAAAUACUGUGAGUGACCCAACUGCGGAAGCGGGAAAGGGAGAUCCUCCUCUCCUGAACACACACCCCCACUGGAGAAACUGAAGAUGAAGAAUCUGAGGCACAAAGAGGUCAACUGGCUUGCCCAAGGGUACUUGGCAGAAGGUGAGCUCUGAUAUAGUGCUUUAGUGCACGGACUCAGAAAGUGGAUGAGCUAAGACAUUCAUGAAGCUGUGUAAGAGAGAAAGGCUCAUCACCUUUGCAGAUGACACAAGCCUUUUAUGCGGGAAUCAAAGAAGAACAUGAGAGGCCAGAACACCGGAUUGAAACCAGCAAUUUGACCUUUAAAAGGUAUAAAGUACUGCUUUUAGGUUUAAAUAGUUAACUGCACAAGCCAGAGACACACAGCUUGGUAGCACACUUCUAGCAAAAAAUCCUUUGCUUUUAAUUGACUGCAAGAUCAAUUUAUCUCCGAGUAGCCCAUGAGAGCUAAUACAUGAAACCCAAACUUAGCUUUACUAAUUGGUACAUAGUAGGGGUGCUACUCUUUUCUGCUGGUGUGAAAUCAUAACUGAAAUUUUGGACUCAGUUUCUAAUAAAAAUUUAGGAAGAACCUUAAUCAAUUGUAACUGCAGAAAAAAAAUCACAUGAUUUUGAGUGAAUUAAAUAUCAUGUUUUCUCAUUUUAUAAGCUAUGGUUAAAAAACUGGAUAUAUCCCAGAAAAAUGAAUUUUUAGAAAUUCGGUGGAACUGUGAUCUGAGAAAAUGGUUGUGAAAAUGGGA
rnacentral:lncRNA from 1 species